rnacentral:lncRNA from 1 species
AACAAAGAAAGAAACUUCUAGGCAUUACUUUCCUCUUCUUCAUUGAGCAAAGCCGCCAUAACCAAGGAUCAAAGAAUCAUACAGAUCGGAAACAUGCAUAGGUUUGUUGAGUUGUUAGAGGUAAAUAUGAGUUCCAUUUAGUUGACUUGACCUUAUAACCUCAAAUAUUUGGAGUUAUCCAUUAUCAACUACAUCCACAAGUGUUAUGGCUGAAUAUAUCCCAAAUUGGAAUGGCUCCAACAUUGAGUCAAUCGGAAUCUCUAAAUCAACAACUUAGGUAAAUCUUCUCAAUUCUCCAAUGAUAGAAGCUCUCAAAAUUUGUUUUAUUGUAUCUUCCCUUUUCCCUCUCUUAUACUAUUUACCGUUUUAAGAUAGAGACUCAUAUCUAUCUUAUACCAAUAAAGAAAAAGAAGUGUUGGAGAAUGUAAAAGCAUAUACAACAUGACUUCAUUUCUUUUAUAUGUAAGAAAUCAGGCCCCUUCCAUAUCAUGUUUUAGUCCAGUGAACGUUCUCAAGAUGGCUUAACUUUGAAGCUUCAAAUAUGUUGCUGUUCAAGUACAAUAAGAUUUUGUGCUUCCUUUGGUACUUUAUGAUAUUCUGCAAAGUUAAUUAUCCUUGCAAAAUCGAACCCUUAGUUAGUAAUAAAAUCUCCCACUUUGUUGGCUACGCGUAUUGCAUGAGUGAUUUCGUGUAGUUCACUUACUCUCCGCGUAUUGAUUCUCCUUAUUUACAUUCUUACACUUCAAGAUAUCUCCCAUUCACCUUAUAAUACCUUUUCAAAUCCAACGAAUCCAUUUCAAUAGCCACAAGGAUGUGGUUAUUCUUUAUGUAAUAUUUAAGGCUAUUCCCAAAAGAUACUACAUCUACAAUCCAAUUAGUCGCAUAUAUGAUCCGACAAGUACUAGAAUAAAUAAACUGACCCCUUUCAUCUUUAUUACAAAAACUAGCUGCAAUAGGCCAAGGGUUACCCUUGGGUGCACCAUCAGAAUUGCACUUGAACCACCCUUGUGAGGGAAAAUACCACCUCACUACCUCGUAUAUGAUUUUAGGGUUGGUACCUAUCAAAGUAAUGAAUUAUUUGAUCCUAAUCUCUAGGAAUAUAUUGUAACCAUGAAUAUAUGCUUUUUGCCAGCACGUAUAAAUAAUAAUUAAUCUCUUGAAUUACCUUUAGCCUAGUAAUAGUAUCUACAUAAACCAUAGUGUUUCUCCCCAUCCAAAGCUGACAAAAAAUAAUAGCAAGUGUUGCUCGGAAACAUAAUCUCUUGCACGCACGUAUAAUAAGGAAGAAGACCUUGCUGGCUAUUCCUUCUUAACAAAGGCUUAUGUUUUUUUCCACUGUCUACAUUACACUAUUCAACCAUGGCCUAAUUCACUUAUAUAAAAUGCCCUAGAAUACCUGCUGCUCUAGUGUAUACUCGCAAGAUAUAAUUUUCUAACUGACCUAUUAGGAAAAGGUGUAUAGUUGUCUCUUGUAGAGGUGGAACACAAUAUCAACAAAUUGAUACCAUUGGAAAACCCCAUUUUGCUGUAUUGUCAUCUAUUGGAAAUUUGAGAUCCAUAAUCUCCACCAAAAAAAUAGAUUUUAAUUGGAAGUCCUUUGGUCCAUAAUUUCCCUUAGUACCAGUAAACAUCUUUCUUACUUCUCAAAUCAUCCAAGGCACUCAUCACAGUGAACCUACUAGAAAUCCAGUAAGCUUUAUCUACCUCAUAUUCUCCUCAUGGAAUUUUUAUGUUAUUAAUUACAUGUUUAGUGAUGUUUGGGGGAAGAUUUUCCCACAUAAAAUUAUGAUUCCAUUCUCCUUGCUACAUAAAGUAAGCCAGUUUAUUUGUAGAGUUUUCAUACCAAAAAUCUUAAGGUAGAAUCCGCAGCAAAGGACCCAACUUGGCCGAGUUAUACAUCAAUACAUUAACACUUCAACUCUAAGUCUCCCACUAGAUAAAUUUUUCAAUUUAUCUUUUGUCUCAAGCAUGAACUUUCAUAGUUGACACCCAUUUCCAUUGCACUACACCAUUGUUGUAUUAUUUGUAAUAUUUUGUCCAUAUGAUACUGGACAAAAGAGAAUUAGUAGUUCUGAACAUCAACCAAAUCUUUGUAAAUAAAGCUUUAGACAAACCAAAAGAAGAUCUGAAAUCAAUCCCACCUUCUUAUUUAAGGCAACACACCUUAUCUUGUGUUACCCAAUGUUUACAUCUUCCUUCUUCCUUAUUACUUCAAAAUAAUCAUACAAAGAUCUUGUAGAUCUUAUUAAGAGUAUAUUUUGUAGUAGCCUAAGAAAAAAAAAUAUAGAUAGUCAUACAUUAGAGAAUAUUCUUGAUUAAAAUAACCUUACCAGAAAAGGAUAGCAAUUUGUCUUUCUAAUUUGUAGCCUGCUUUUGAUCUUUUUAAUGAGAUCAUUGUAGUAUAUUUUCUUCUUUAUAAAGUGAAAAAUGGGAUAACCCAAAUAUAAAAAGGAAAAAGAGCCCUUUACAAAUACCAGUGCACUAUCCCACCUCCUAGAUCAAGAAAAUAAAUGCCUUUGAUACAUAUAAUAGGCAAUCUUAUUCAAAUUUAUCAGCUGGCUUGAGAUUUCUUCAUACUUCAUCAAUAUUUCCAUAAUCAAGAAAAUUUUUAAUUUGGUUUGUAGAAGUCAAAAACAUUGUGUCAUCUGCAUAACCCAUAUGACUCAAUUUUCCACAUCUUUUCAAUGGAUAUCCCUUGUACACCAUAUUAUCAUACAACUCAUUUAAGGCUCUUCAAAGAAACUUGGCAGCCAUAAAUAGGGCUGGUGAAAUGGUAUCAUCUUGUUUCACACCUAUUGUAGAAUGAAGAAAACUAGUGUCCUAUACAUUUAAUAGUAUAGACUACCUAUAUUAGUAAUUGAUAUCCAAGUCCGAUCAAUGAAUAUCUAAUUAAACACAAUCGUCCUUAGAAUGUUAGUAAGAUAUAACCAAGACACCCUGUAAUAUGGCUUGGUCGUGUCCAAUUUAAUUACUACAUUUGCAGGCUUUCCCCAUUUUCCUUAUGUAUUUCACCAUCUUCUAAGUAAGUAACCUUUUUUUAAUGAUGCAUCUUCCUUGAUAUAAAUAUGUGAUUAUGAGAAAUCAACUUUGGUAGAAUACCUUAAAGUCUCCCAUGAACAAUCCAGGAAAUAAUUUUGUUCAUAAAAUUACUUAGGCUAAUAGGUCUAAGGUCUGAGUCAAUUCUUUGUUGGGGAGAAGAACUAUCAGCUUUGAAAAAAAUUACUAUUAGUCCAUCUGGUUACUAACACUAAAGCCAUCUAACUUGAAUACUAUUUUCUUAACCUCUUCAUAUCUAGGAUAGUUGUCAAUUUCUUAUUAACAUCUGUUUUCUAUUACUUGUGGGUGUUGUAUUUAUGUUAUCCCAUCUUGUUCCAUGCUUUACUAUGUAUUUGUGUAGUAUUCCGUGUCUCGAGCCGGGGGUCUAUCAGAAACAGCCUUUCUACUUCUUUAGAGGUAGAGGUAUAGACUGCGUACGUCUUACCCUCCCCAGACCCCACUAUGUGGGAAUACACUAGGUUUGUUGUUGUUUUUGUUGUUGUAGUUAGGAAAGAUGGAAUAGAUUCCAGCAGAAAAAUCAGUACCUUCAUCCCCUUGAGUAAACUGAUUAUGGUUGAAGUUUUUUCUUCUCUUGCCAUCUCUUCUUCAUUUUUUAUCCAAUCUCCUUUACUAUUUUGAAUUCUCUUAAUUUCACACCUUUUUGUUCUAUGAUUCACAAGAUUAUGGAAGAAUUAUUCUUGUCACCAUUAGUAAACCAAGAAAUUCCAUCCUUUUAUCUCAAGAAUUCCUCUUCUAAAUUGAUAUAUCUUUUCAUUUCUAUUUGUACUUAUUUUAGUAUCAUUCUGUUGAUUGCGGUAGGCUAUUCAGAAAAAAGUUUCCCCUUUGUUUUAACGACUUCUUCCUUUAUAAUAAGAUGUUUUAAUAUGUCAGCAAAUGUUUCCUUAUUCCAUUGACUUAGAGCCUAUUCACCCUCUUUAUUUUUUGCUUAAAGAUAACAAAUGGAUGCCCUUCACAGUUUGCAAACAAAUUUGGUUCCAUAAUCUUCAAAAAUAUCAGCUUGCUCUAUCAAAAAGUUGAAGAACCUGAAAUGUUUCUUAAAGAUUUUAAUACAUUCUCAUAUAGUAAUGAACAGUAGAGCUUGGUCCGACUCUAUUCUAUCCAGAUGUUCCAUCUCUAUGAAACCAUAAGUUGUUUGAAGGUUUGCAUUGGCUAACACUUUCUCCAGCCUCUCAAAUAUACAUUCUUCAUCAAUCCUACUAUCCCAUCAUGUGAAUCAGUUGCCUUUGAAUCCCACAUCAAACAACCGAUAUAAAUUUAUACACCAAGCAAAAUCAUUACAUUAUAUAGGUGUCACUGGUUAGCCUCCAAUUUCUCUUCCCCAUUAAGUACCAUAAUAAAAUCUCCCCCAAUUAACCAUUGAAUAGUUAUUAUGGAAGAAAACUGAUAAAUACUAUCCCACAAUUGCAUCCUUUCAUUAUCAUUACAUUUAGCAUAGGUGGAUUUAUAAGAUAAAUCAUAAAGUAGAUGGCUUGGUAGAUAGAUAUAAGGUAGAUUAGUAGCUAAAGGAUUCGUUCAAGAAUAUUGAUUUGAACCCCUUUCCGUAAAGUCAAGUGGCCUAAAGGAUCCCUUUAGAGAUAGGGAUGAGUACGGUCCUCUUGUACUCUAUAGGUAUCAUAGGUCAAUUGAGAAGAUAAGAAAAUAAUCUAAGUAAAGUAAAAAUAUAAGCACAUCAAGUGCAUUACUUACAUUUCUACAUCAUCCCUAAUAAAAAACCGAAUCUUCCAUUUGUGUUAGCUCAUGCAGUAUGUAUUCCUUUCCUCCUCUUAUAUUUUUGAAUGUAUUUUUGCAUGUUGCAAAGGUCCCAUCAAUGUUACUAUGCAGAACAUGUGAUGUAUGUUUAACAUCUAAAGUCUAUUAAAAGCUUAAUGGGUAUUAACUAAGCUGAUGUUCCACAUGAAAACAUUUAAUAUCCUAAAACAUUGAGUUAUGUUGUUGCUCCUUUUGUUAACAUACCAAUAGGUGUUUAUAGUUCUCCCUGUCUUUCUGUGUUAUUUUGUUUCUUCCUCUUUUUGUUGACAUUAGAGAGCUGUCUGUUUUUUUUUCAACCUUUUAACUUUUGUUGUCAAUAUUAUCCACUAAAUUUUGUCUGUCUGUAUGAUUUUCUAGGUUAUGUUCUAUGGCAAGGUGUUGAUUGUGACAUUAGAUUUCAUUCGGGCUUCUUUAGGAGAAAUUGCCUUGAGUAGCAUUGCCUCCUACUCCUCUUUUGUAAGUACCAACUCCUUAUUGCAACUCAUCUCUUCUAUCAUUUCAUCAACUAAGGUAUUGUGCACCACAAUAUCCUUUACCCCAUUAUUUGCAUAUCUCCAUUAGAUUUUUCUACUAGCAUUUUUGAUAUUGGAGUUUCAUUACCACUAUAGAUUGAUUAUGUGUUUCCUCCACAUUUCUAUCAUGUCCAUCAUUACAUUUUUUAUCCUUUGUGCAUUAGACAUUAUCCUCCAAAUGAUGAUCUGAUUCACAUUGUUGCACCAAUUUAAUAAUGCUUUUUGGAAAUCUUUUAGAAUUAUAUCUUCUUCCUAUUUUACUAUUUCUUGCUCCACUAUGUCUCUCAAUUUGUGUUUCCAAAAAGAUUUGUAAUCCAUUGCUUUAUUUUAGCUGCUUGUAUUUCCUUGUAAGUGUUUUGUUUCAUCAUGUAUUUUCCAUCCUUGUUUACCCUUCCCCUCUAUUCAUUGGUUUUCAUCCUCUAUUGACAAUACAUUAAAUUUAUUUUUGAUAAUAACUUGCUCCUUGUCUUUGUUUGAACUUGUAAAUUUCUCCAUGGUAGUAGCAUUUGAAGCACUUUCUUUAACUAAAGCCUAUGCAUCCCUGUCACCUAUGAAUUUCCCACUUUAUAAUGUCUUUGGAAGAAACUUAUGGUUUAUUUGAAGUGUCUUCUAAGCUUGUGGUGCUUCUUGAGAUGGUUGCGGGCCUUCUCCAUUAUCAGUUCCUUUCACUGCAUUAGGCUAAAUAUUUUUGCAUUCAUCCUCUUUAUAGACUUUUAAUUUGCAUACUGCAUAAUAUUUUGGUAAAGAGUCAUAUUCAACCUUAACAUGCACUGAGAUGCUAAAUCUAGUUGCACCUUCACCCUUACACAAUUAGAUCUGGUUUUAUUGAUUGUGGAUCAGAUCUAAUUAUAAUGGUUUGCCCACCACGAAUGCCAGAAAAAAGGGAUUCUCCAAUAAAAUAAGUAGGAAAGGUAUUAUAAAAAGAGAUCUAAGCAAUCACUUGAGUUGUCUCUUCGUCCACCUUAAAAUCAGCAUUUUUGUCACGACCCAAUUUACAAGUUAUGAUGACACCUACUUUAUCCCCCAUUAGGUAAGUUGACCCAUGGCCAAGAGCCAGAUGUAAUGGGCUAAUGUAAUACCCCAAACUUUUUUUAAGUCAAAUCUAAUCACCAAAAGAGUUAGUAAUGACUUCCUAAAUGAUUAAUGUUUAAAUCAGUAAGAAUUUUCCUAGUUUUGACUUUUUAUCAUGUGGAAAAUUGAAUUAGAUUUUCAAUGAUACCAAUUUCAUCCAAAUCCGAUAUCAGAGUAGAAAGUUAUGGAUAUUUUACUGAGAGCUGUCAGAAUCACCAGGUGCGAUAGGCAGGUUGACGUACCGUCGAGCUAGCGACAGACCAUAGCCUAAAUUAUCGCAGCUAAGGCAGUAAGUCAUUUUUCUGGCUAAGGUGCGAUGGACAAGUUGAUGGACCAUCGCUACUAAGGAAGUGAGUCCCUAUUCUGGCCCAAGUGCGAUGGUCAGAACGAUGGACCGUUGAGCCAGCGACGAACAUUCGCAGAUUCCAUUUAGCAAUUUAAAGCCAUUUUUAGAAGGGUAUUUGGGUCUUUUUUCACCCGUUUUAACCCCUAAUUAUACCAGCAAUAACUCAUAACUUCAUUAUUCAUUCACAACGUCCAACUAGGAUUUCUCUCAAAGAUCAAUCCCCAAGAAAAAGAAACCCUAGGUGCUUAAUUCCAAGUCAAGAAUUCAAUAUUUCCUCCACAAAUCUUUAAGAAAUUAUCCACCCAGGUAUGUAAAGUGUUCAUUCAUGGAUUCCUUUCGUCCAUGAAUCCCAAGAAUCCAAUUUUAAAUUAUAAAUUAUGAUGUUUAUGUUGUGGAUUGGUUAUGAUUAUGUUGAUGUUGUGUAUGAUAUCCAAUUUGGAAUCGUUAAAUGUGUUUCCAUUAAUUUAUACUAGUACGUCGAUUUAAAUCUACUAAAUUGUGUUGAUUUAUGCAACCAUAAUUAAUUAAUUUAAUGUCCAAGCCUAAGCUUAUAGUUAUGCAUGCAAGGUGUUUGAUAAAAAGCCUAAGAGAAUAGGAAACUUGCCUUAUGACUCAAUGGUGACCAAAAUGAUGAACCUAUGUUUCACCCUUAAGUUCAUAUGACUCCCAUGUGAUUAUUAUGCUUUGUGAUGGAUUAACGAAAUGCUCAUGAGAUUAUGCAUAUGAAAUUAUGACACAUUUACAUGCACUUCUAUUCACUUCUAUUCAUGCGAGAACUUAUGGCAUGCAAAUAAUUCAUGAAUAUCCCCAAUGAUUGUACUAUAAAUUGUUGACUAUGGUUAUGUAUCAAGAAGUGUCAUGUCUUGUCAGUUUUAUGGGGGUACUUGUACCCGAUAAUUUAGUUGUGUGCCUAGAUCCAGUGUCAUGUUUUCAAGAUACUUUCAGUCAAGCCAUGUUCAGUAGAAUUCAGUCAAUCUCAUGACUCAGGAAAACUCAAUAAUCUCAGUAAUCUCAUGAAACACCCCGAAUCUGGUACCCAGAAUGCUACAUGGUGCUCAUGACCCCAAAGGACCACAAGCUAACCCAUGACUGAUAUCUGUACCUGAACACUGCAUAAUAUACUGUAUAAUGUGGAAAUAUGAAAUAAAAGGCCAUAAGGUUCAACAUUGAGAUACAAUAUCUGAUAACAUUUGGGUGGGGUAUGAAAUACCCAAAACAACAGAAAUAAACUGUCUCAACAUAUUGUAGUCUGAAAAGCCUCAAAAUCAUGACUGAACUGUAUGAAUAAGGAGUUGAUGAGACAUGUGCCUAACUAACUCAAACUAAUAAUUUAAUUAAUAAGAUGAUAAAGUAAUGAUCAUGUCCUCAAAAGAUGAGGACUCACUGCUAACUCUGAUUUGCUAAGACUGGAAUCUACUGAUGCUCUGGAGCUCGUGUCUCUAAACCUAUGGUAUAAGACACCAUAGCGCAAAUGCAUCAGUAUUUUGAAUGUAUUGGUAUGCAUUUGAGGUAGGCUAAAUGUAUGGGGUUCAUAUGCAUGAACAAUACUGACUAAUAUUAUGAACGUGAGAAUGCAUGCAUGAAUACAUAGUAACUAUAAUUGAGAUCGUGAUAACAUGAAUUAACUGAUAACUAAUAUGACUGGUAACUGAGUUCUGAUGACUGAUAUAACUGAUAACAUGAGUUACUGUAUCUAAAAGUCCUUAAUCUAAUGGAACUAGCUGAGUUUCGUACUGUUCUGAGAUGACUGUAUCCAACAGUCCUGAAUUCUAUAGAACUAUCUGAGUUCUAUUACUGAGACUGAAUAACUGUAUCUAAUAAUACUGAUUUCUAUAGCUGAAAGUGUGGGAAGUAGUUAUCUAGCGACAUGCCCUAAAUAACGCAUUAUAGUUGAGUUGGGGUACAAUCCAUAACCCCAAUUGGAAGGGUGUCAAUACCGUGCCACCGGUUAGGACAAGCUGUGAGUGACCCUCAUCUGAUAGUGUCCUGAAAAGAGAACGGUGGGGCCUUCAUCUGACAGUGCUUAUCCACCUCAUCAACCCUCAUCUGAUAGAGUUGAUGUCUUAACAUAUGCUGGCUACAUAGUUUUGGAAUGCAAGGAUGACUUCUAAGAAUCACACCCUCAUCUCACUGUGUGUGUUCCCAUCCCGGGGUUCACUCGGUGCUAAUUUCUACUCCUAUCUGAAUAGACACUAUACAUCAAUUACUGAACUAAACUGGACUGAGUUAGCUAAAUUUUGUUGACAGACGAAAUAUUUCUAAGAUUUCUGUAUUACUGAGCUUUCUGAGAUUACUGAGAUUUUUGAGUUUUACUAAGUUUUUCCCGAGUCACAUGACUAACUGAAUUCUACUGAACAUGGCUUGACUGAGGAUAUCGUGAAAACAUAACACUAGCUUUAGAUAUACAGUUAAAUUGUCGGGUACAAGUACCCCCAGGACUCAAUGGAAAGAAACUAACAAAGCAUGACUUUCUUGAAUAUAUGGCUAACAUCACAAUCCAUAAUUCAUUUAUUGAGGCAUUUCACCAAACAUGUGAUAUGCAUAAACUUGUACAUACAUGGGGAUUGUAUAAUAUCAUACUAGUUGGGAAAUUUUCCUUGACAUAGGCAUUUAAUCAAAUAUAUGGUAAGCAUAGUAUAUGUAGACAACAUUAUACAAUAAAUAAACAUCAUGAUUCAGCUGUAAUUUUAUCUUCCAAGGGGUUAAUCAUAGGUUCAAGUGAAUCUACACCUAAAUUGAUCAAUUCCACAUAAAAUUGAUCUGUCGACAUAGAUUAGAAUUCAAUUGGUCAUUAUCAACAUGAACAAAAGCAAACCCAACAUGAAAUUCAUAAAGAAGUCCAUACACUUGAUCUUUGAAAAGAGAUUAUUGGGCUUCAUGGAUGAAAGAAGCCCAUGAAUGAACACUAUGUAUUCCUGGUAGUGAGUUUUCUUGAAGUUCUUGAACUUGAAGAAUUUGAAUCUCUUAGUUCUUGAAGAAGAUUUGGAUUUUGUUGCUAAAGGAUUGCUCUUAGAGAGAAAAACCUAAUUUUUUUUAUGUUGUGGAAGAAUAAUGAACUUAUGAGUCUUGGUCUGAUACAAUUAGGGGUUUAAAACGGGUGAAAAAAGACCCAAAUACCUUUUAAAAAUGACUUGAAAUUUGCUGAACGGGACCUACAAUGGCUUAUGCGACGGUCCAUUGCUGGCUCGACCGUCCGUCGUUUCGAUCGUCGUACGUGAACUAAGAAAAGGAUUCACUGCGUAAGUAGCGACGGUCCGUCGCAAGUUCAACAGUCCGUCAACCUAUCCGUCGCACCUUAUCCUGAAGGUGCCUCACUGCCUUGGCUGUGACGCUCAAGGCGAUGGUCCGUCAACUUGGCCGUCACACCUGGGCGAUUCUGGUAGCUCUGAGUAAAACGUCCAUAACUUUUUACUCUGAUACCGGAUUUUGAUGAAAUUGGUAUUUUUGGAAAGCUAAUUCAAUUUUUCACAUGAUAAAAAGUGAAAAUCUUAAAAAUUCCACUUGUACAAAAAUGGAUUCAUAUUUCAAAGUAAGUUUCUAGCAUUUUUGGGAUGAUUUCAAGCUAGAAAAAAGUACGGGGCAUUACAAUAUCUCCCCCUUGAGAACAUUCGUCCUCGAAUGAGACUGAGUGAGAGGGGUGAAUAUAAACCAAUGUACAUACUGAACAUGAAUGAUUGAAAAAAAUGAUUUCAUGGCUGACAUGACUGAUAACUGAAUAUAUCAUACUGAGCAUGCAUAUCUGGUGCUUGUGUAAUUGAUUCAUGAAUGCAUGACUGAGAGUUCUGAUGAACCAAGGUUCUCACACUGAGAAUACAUUUCUGAUGCAUGAUUAUAUAACAGAACUGAUACAUGAAUGCAUGAAUGAAUAUGCAAUGGUAUUUAAUACCAGGUUUGUGACAAAAUUCUGAACAUGAACUACAUACCAAGCUUGUAAUUGAAGUCUGAACAUGAAACUGAAAAGCUUAAGGAGAACUGUUACCUUGAGCUUGAUUUGAGUUGGCGGAUAAGAGGUAAGGAUACUUGGUUCGCAUAUCUGCUUCUGCUUCCUAAGUAGCUUUCUCAACGGACUGAGUUUGCCAAAAAUCUUUGACUAGAGGGACUUCUUUGUUCCUCAGUGUACGAGUUUGAUAGUCUAGGAUUUCGACUGGAAUAUUUUCAUAAGAGAGGCUGUUCUAAACAUCUAUGCUCUGAAUAGGGACUACAACUACUGGAUCACCUAUGCACUUCUUAAGCAAAGAGACAUGGAAGACUUGAUGAACUAAGGAUAGAUCUAAAGGCAAUUCGAGCUCAUAAGUUACCUUGCCAAAGCGGCUGAGAAUUUUGAAGGUAUCGACAUAUCGAGGACUGAGCUUUGCCUUCUUUCCAAACCUCUUCACUCCCUUCAUGGGAGAGAUCUUUAGAUUGACAUAAUCACUAAUCUCGAACUCAAGAUCCUUUCUACGAACAUUUGCAUAAGAUUUCUGUCGGCUCUGGGCAGCCCGGAGUCUUUCUCUAAUCAAUUGGACCUUUUCUAAGGCAUCGAAUACUAAGUCAGGCCCUAUAACUGAGGCCUUACUAACUUUGAACCAAGCGAUUUGAGAUCUGCAUCUCCUACUAUAGAGAUCUUCAAAUGGAGCUAUUUGAAUACUGGAAUGAUAGCUAUUGUUGUAUGGAAACUCAAUCAAAGGCAAGUGGUCAUCCCAACUACCCUUGAAAUCAAUUGCACAUGCCUUUAGCAUAUCUUCUAGGGUCUGAUUGGUCAUUUCUGCUGGGGAUGAAAGGUUGUAUUGAGAUGAACUUAGGUACCAAGACCCUUUUGGAAUGCUUUCCAAAAAUGAGAGGUGAACUGGGUACCUCUGUCUAAGAUAAUGGAUAACGAAACACCGUGCAAUUUGACCAACUCUCUGAUGUAGAGUUUGGCGUCAUCCUCGGCUGAAUAAGAGGUAUGGACUGGAAGGAAAUAAGCUGAUUUGGUCAUUCUUUCUAUAAUGAUCCAAAUUGAAUCAUACUGGCAAUGAGUACGAGGCAAACCCGUCAUAAAGUCCAUGUUCACUUCUUCCCACUUCCAAGUAGGAAUACUGAGCUCCUGCAUGGACCCACUAGACUUCUGAUGUUUUAUCUUAACCUGUUGAUAUGUAAAGCACUUAGCCAUAAACUCUGCAAUAUCUCUCUUCAUCCCACUCCACCAAUAGAUUCCUCGCAAGUCACGGUACAUCUUUGUGGCCUCUAGAUGAAUAUAAUAGUGCGCAUCAUGCGCUUCUGUAAGAAUUCAUUGCCUUAAGUCGUUUACACCUGGAACACACAGAUGACCCUAACAAUGCAAAACACCAUCUCCCUCUUAGGAGAAAACCUCUACUUUCUGAUCCUUGACCGAUUCUGUUAACUAGACAAAGCUCGAAUCUCUAUCUUACUUUACUUUCACCUUGGAAACUAGAGAUGACUCUAAACUACUCUAAACCCAUAUGUCACCCUCAUCUGAAUCGACUAAGCAAACACCUAGUCUGGCAAGCUGAUGGAUUUGCUGAGCUAACUUCUUCUUACUGUCCUCAACAUGAGCAACACUACCUAUGGACAGUCUACUAAGAGCGUCAGCCACUACGUUGGUCUUGCCUAGAUGAUAAAGAACACUCAUGUCAUAAUCUUUCAAGAGCUCUAACCACCUUCUCUGACGAAGAUUGAGAUCUUUCUGAGAAUAAACAUACUGAAGGCUCUUAUGAUCUGUGAACACAUCAACAUGAACACCGUAUAGAUAAUAUCUCCAAAUCUACGGCUGCUAACUCGAGAUCAUGAGUAGGAUAAUUCUUUUCAUGGGUUUAAGCUGCCUAGAGGCGUAGGCUAUAACCUUACCUUACUGCAUGAAGACACAACUCAAACCUACUUUGGAUGCAUCACAAUACACUACAAAACCAUCUGAACCAUCUGGAAGAGCUAAGACUAGAGUUAAGGUAAGUCAAGUCUUCAACUUCUGAAAACUCUUCUUGUAAGGAUCUGACCACUGAAACUUAAUUUUUUUCUGAAUCAAUUUGGACAUAGGGGAUGUAAUAGAAGAAAAUUCAUCAAAAACCACCUGUAAUAGCCUGCCAAACCAAAGAAACUCCUGAUAUCUGAUGGAGAGACAGAUCUAGGCCAUUUUCUUACUGCUUCAGUCUUUUAAGGAUCUACUCUAACGCCAUCAACGGAAAUGAUAUGACCAAGGAAGAAAUGCUACUGACCUUAGCCAAAAUUUGCACUUCUUGAAUUUGGCGAAUAACUAAUGAUCUCUGAGGGUCUGAAGUACAAUUCUGAGAUAUUCUGCAUGAUUACACUCUUUGCAGGAAUAGACCAGAAUAUCAUUAAUGAAGACUAUGACGAACAUUUCCAAGUACUGCUUGAACACGUGGUUCAUCAAGUCCAUGAAAGCGGUUGGGGAAUUGGUAAGACCAAAGGAUAUAACUAAGAAUUUAAAGUGACCAUACCGAGUAAGAAAUGCUAUUUUUGGAAUGUCACAUUCUCUGACUUUGAGCUGAUGAUAGCCUGAUCUGAGGUCUAUCUUAGAGAAGUAACUGGCACCCUAAAGUUGUUCAAACAAGUCAUCGAUUCUGGGAAAAGGAUACUUGUUCUUGACCGUGACUUUAUUGAGAUGACGGUAAUCAAUACAUAUUCUAAGAGAACCAUCUUUCUUGCGCACAAAUAAAAUUGGUGCACCCCACGAAGACACGCUAGGCCUAAUAAAUCCCUUAUCUAAGAGAUCAUUCAACUGGUCUUUCAAUUCUCUGAGUUCUACUGGUGCCAUUCUGUAUGGCAAAAUAUAUAUAGGCUGAGUAUCUGGAAGAAGAUCAAUGCUGAAGUCUAUUCCCCUUUCAGGAGGAAUUCCUGUAAGAUCUUCGAGAAAGACAUCUGAAUAUCCAUUCACUACUAGGACUGAAUCAAGACUGGGAGUUUCAGAACUAGUGUCCUUAACUCGAAUAAGAUGAUAGACACACCCUUUAGAUAUCAUUUUUCAUGCUCGAAGGUAGGAAAUAGGCUGACCUUUGAAAGCGGAUACACUACCCUUCCACUCUAGGAUGGGUUCAUUCGAAAACUUAAACUGAACUAUUCUGUUCUUGCAGUCGACUGUGGUAUAGAAGGAAUGAAGCUAAUCCAUGCCAAGAAUGACAUCAAAAUCAGUCAUCUCUAAUUUGACUAAGUCUACUGAAGUGACUUUUUGAAAUAUCAUAAUCGGGCUAUUCCUGUAUACCCACCGAGCUAUGAUGGUUUUACCCUCUAAGGUAGAAACUGAAAAGGGCUCUGCUAGAUUUUUGGGACUGACUCUAAAAUCCACUGCUAUAUAGGGAGUAACAAAAGACAAAGAAGCUCCUGGAUCUAGCAAAGUGUAAACAUGAACAUAAAAGAUCUAUAACGUACUAGUAACAACAUCAGGAGAAUUUUCCUGAUCUUGGCGGGACUGGAGAGCAUUAAGUCUAUUUAGGUGUUGCCCACUAGUAACAUUGGAGGUGGUACCCUAUUGGUUUGGGCGAUCAGACUGAGCUGAGGAAUGGUUCUGCUGACCCUAACCUGACUGAGGACAAACUUUGACUCUAUGGCCUGGCUUGCCACAUCCAAAAUAGACAACGCUACUAGCUCUGCAAACACCCUUAUGGUUCUUACCAUAAGUCUGACAAAGGGGAUUUGUUCGGGCAUUGCUGACACUGCCCUGAGACUUUGAACCUAGUGUCCUAUCUCUAUUACCAUCCCUGAACUUCGAAGUUUGAGCACUAACUGAAGACUUAGGAUGAAACUGAGAACGAUUUCCUCCUGAUUUGGGCUGAGCAAAGUUGAAACUACCUGUCCUUGCCUUCUUAUUCUGCUUCUCCCUCAUCUUAAUCUUUUGCUCCUCUAUCUACUGAGCAUAAGUUAUAAGCCUGGCUAGAGUCAUUUCACUAUUCAACAUCGCUAACCUACACUCGUUGACCACAUCAUCAUUCACCCAGAACAAACUUACGCAUCUUGGCCCUGCUGUCUGCAACCACAUGAAGGGAUAUCUUGAUAAUUGAUUAAAAUUAAGAGAAUACUCUUUCACCAUCAUUUUACCCUGCUCGAGGUUGAUGAAUUCUAACACCUUUGCUUCUCUCAGCUCUAGGGGAAAGAACCUCUCUAAGAAUGUAUUGACAAACUCCUCCCACUUAAUAGGCCCUGCAUCAUUUGGUUUUUCUGACUUUCACUGUUUAAACCAAGUAUGUGCAACAUCCUACAACUGAUAUGCAGUUAGCUCAGCACUCUCAACAAAUGAAAUCCCCAUAAAGUCAGUAACCUUCUAAACCUGAUCGAUGAAUUCCUGAGGGUCAUCAUCUGACUUAGACUCGAGAAAGGAUGGAUGAUUCAUUUGGGUGAAGUCCCGAAUCAUGGCUGCAGCUGAAUUGGACACUUGGCUUGCCGGAAUGACAGUUGGUCAUUCAUUCAGAGCAGUAACUGACUGAGCAAGAGGAGUGAAUGUAGCUCUAAACUCUGCAUGAGAAACAUGUUCGUCCAAAGGUUCUUUGGGCUGAGGGGCUGACUGAUUCCUGUUUCUUCUUUUAGGAGGCAUGUUCUGUAGAAAAAAGGAAGAAAUAGAUUAGACUGAGAGAUUGACUUGAGACUAUGCUCACUGUCAUGACAUGAAUACUGUAAGAAGGCAAUUUGUUCCUAAAACAUCUUAUAGCCUCCUGUACAUAAAUGUGGUGCACAACACACCCAUGUACAAGACUCUACUAGAUGUGAUUUUCAGACUUCCUAGGGCACUAUUGAACCUUAGGCUCUGAUACCAAGUUUGUAACGCCGUAAAUCUAGUACCAAAAAUGCUACACGGUGCUCAUGACCCCGAAGGACCACAAGCUAAUCCAUAACUGAUAUAUAUACCUGAAUACUGCAUAGUAUAUUAUAUAAUAUGGAAACACGAACUGAAAGGCCGUAAGGUUCAACAGUGAGAUAUAAAAUUCUAUAAAAAUAUAAAAUCUGGUGGGGUAUGAAAUACCCGAAACAACUGAAAUAAACUGUCUGAACAUACUAUAAUCUGAAAAGCCUCUAAAUCAUAACUUAAUUGUAUAAAUAAGAAGUUGAUGACCAUGUCCCCAACUGACUCUAACUAAUAAAUUAAUUAAUGAAAGAUGAGGACUCACUACUAACUCUGAUUUGCUGAGACUGGAAUCUACUGAUGCUCUGGAGCUCAUGUCUUUGAACCUAUGGUAUAAGACACCAUAGCGCAAAUACGUCAGUAUUUUGAAUAUACUGGUAUACUUGUGAGGUAGGCUGAAUGCAUAGGGUUCAUAUGUAUGAACAAUACUGACGAACUGUCUAAUAUGAACGUGAGAAUGCAUGCAUGAAUACGUAGUAACUAUAACUGAGAUUGUGAUAACAUAAAUUUACUGAUAACUAACAUGACUGGUAACUCAGUUCUGAUGACUGAUAUAACUGAUAACAUGAGUGACUGUAUCUGACUGUCCUGAAUCUGAUGAAACUAGCUGAGUUAUGUACUAUUCUGACUUGACUGUAUCUGACAGUCCUGAAUUCUGUAGAACUAUCCGAGUUCUAUUACUGAGAUUGAAUGAAUGUAUUUGACUGUGCUAAUUUUUGUUUGCUGAAACUGUGGGAAGUAGUUAUCUAACUGACAUGCCAUAAAUAAUGCAUUAUAGCUGAGUUGGGGUCUAAUUUAUAACCCCAAUUGGAAGGGUGUCAAUACCGCGCCACUGGUAAGGACAAGUUGUGAGUGACCCUCAUCUGACAGUAUCCCCAAAAGAGAACGGUGGGCCCCUUAUCUGAUAGUGCUUAUCCACCUCAUCAGCCCUCAUCUCUCAUCUAACAGUGUUGAUGUCUCAAUAUUUGCUGGCUACAUAGUUCUGGAAUGCAAGGAUGACUUCUUAGAAUCACACCCUCAUCUGAUAGUGUGUGUUCCCAUCCUUGGAUUCAUUUGGUGCUAAUUUUUACUCCCAUCUGAAUAGACACUGUACAUGAAUUAUUGAACUGAACUGGACUAAGUUAGCAAUAUUUUGUUGACUGACAGAAUAUUACAGAGAUUUUUGUAUUACUGAGCUUUCUGAGAUUACUGGGAUUUUUGAGUUUUACUGAGUUUUUCCUGAGUCACAUGACUAACUAAGUUCUACUGAACAUGGCUUGAUUUGACACUGGCUCUAGGCACAGCUAAAUUGUCGAGUAAAAGUACUCCCAGGACUCGAUGGAAAGAAACUGACAAAGCAUGACUUUCUUGAAUACAUGACCAACAUCACAAUCCAUAAUUAUUUUUUUGAGGUAUUUCAUCAAACAUGUGAUAGGCUUAAACGUAUACAUACAUGGGGAUUGCAUAAUAUCAUACUUGUUGGGCACUUUUCCUUCACAUAGGCAUUUAAUCAAACACAUAGUAAGCAUAGUGUUUCAUGAAUCUACACCUAUACUAAUCAAUUCCACAUAAAAUUGAUCAUCCAACAUGGAUUAGAAUUCAAUUGGUCAUUAUCAACAUAAAAAAAGCAAACCCAACAUGAAAUUCAUAAAGAAAUUCAUACACUUGAACUUUGAAAAGAGAUUCUUAGGCUUUAUGGACGAAAGGAAUCCAUGAAUUAACACUAUGCAUACCUGGUAGUGACUUUUCUUGAAUUUCUUGAACUUGAAGAAUUUUAAUCUCUUAAUUCCUGAAGAAGAUUUGGAUUUUGUUGCUUAAGGAUUGCUCUUAGGGAGAAAACCCUAAGUUUUUGAUGUUGUGGAAGAAUAAUAAACUUAUGAGACUUGGUUUGAUAUAAUUAGGGGUUUAAAACGGGUGGAAAAAGACCCAAAUACCCUUUAUGACUUUAAAUUUAUUGAACGGGACCUGCAACGGCUCGUGUGACGAUCCGCCACUGGCUCGAUGGUUCGUCAUUUCGAUCGUUGUACAUGGACCAAGAAAAGGAUUCAUUGCCUAAGUAGCAAUGGCUUGGGUAACGUUCCAUCAGAAGUUCGACGGUCCAUCAACUUGUCCGUCACACCUUAUCUAGAAGGUUGCCUCACUACCUUGGCUGCAAUGGUCAAGGCGACGGGCCAUCACUGGGUCGACGGUGCGUUAACUUGGCCGUUGCACUUGGGCGAUUCUGGCAGCUUUGAGUAAAAUGUCCAUAACUUUUUACUCCAAUAUCGGAUUUGGACAAAAUUGCUAUCGUUAGAAAUCUAAUUCAAUUUUCCACAUGGUAAAAAGUGAAAAUCUUAAAAAUUUCAUGUUUACAAAGAUGGAUUCAUAUUUCAAUGUAAGUUUCUAGCAUUCUUGGGAUGAUUUCAAGCUAGGAAAAAAUACGGGGUAUUACAUCUCAGUCAGUUAUCAGAUCUCGGUGAUACCCUGUUAGUUAACGGAGCUUAGUAAUCUCAAUCCUAUCAGUUCAGUAUAAUUAAUUCAGUGUCUAAUCAGAUGGGAGUAGGAUUCAGCACUGAGUGAGCCUAAUGAUGGGAACUCACUUGCGAGUAAAGGGUGUGAUUCUUAGAAGCAAUCCUUGCGCUCCAGAACUACGUAGCCAGCGUAAGUUGAGACAUCUAAUCUGUUAGAUGAGGGUUGAUGAGGUGCCUUAACCUGUUAUAUGAGGGUUCUACCGUUCUCCUUAGAGUACCUGUUAAAUGAGAGAUCACUCACAGCUUGUCUAUACUAGUGGCGUGGUAUUGACACCCUUCCAAUUGGGGUUACACCUUGGACUCCAACUCAGCUAUAUUGUUUUAUUUGGGGCAUGUUAGUUAGAUGACUACUUCCCACAGUUACAGUCUCAGUCUCAAUAAUAGAACUCAGAUAGUUCUACUGAAUUCAGGACUGUCAGAUACGAUCACCCAAUUCAGUACGACACUCAGCUUGUUUCAUCAAAAACAAGACUGUCAGACACAGUCAUAUAGUAUAACAGUUAUACUAAACCUAUGUUAUCAUUAUUCAGAUUUAGUGAUGUCUUGAUCUCAGAUACAUUUCACGUAUUCAUGCAUGUAUUUUCACGUUCUUCUUAUUUGGUUAGGUAGUUCAUGCAUAUAAACCCUUGCAUUCAGCCUACCUUACUUGCUUACCAGUACAUUCAAUCGUACUGACGUAUUUGUGCUAUGGUGUAUAGAACUCAGAUAGUUCUACUGAAUUCAAGACUGUCAGAUACAGUCACCCAAUUCAGUAUGAAACUUAGCUAGUUUCAUCAGAAACAAGACUGUCAGACACAGUCAUUUGGAUAAUAGUACAAUAGUUAUACGAAACCUAUGUUAUCAGUAUUCAGAUUCAGUGAUGUCUUGAUCUCAGAUACAUUUCACGUAUUCAUGUAUGUAUUUUCAUGUUCAUGUUAUUUUGUUAUUUGGUCAGGUAGUAUUGUUCAUGCAUAUAAACCCUUGCAUUCAGCCUACCUCACUUGCAUACCAGUACAUUCAAUCGUACUGACGUAUUUGCGCUAUGGUGUUUUAUACCAUAGGUUUAGAAGCACGAGCUCCAGAGCAUCAGUAGCAUUCUAGUUUUGGCAGUCAGAGUUAGCAUUGAGUCCUCAUCCUUCGAGGACAUGAUCAUUACUUUAUUAUAUGAUUACUUAGUUUAUUUUAGUAGUUGGAUUUAGUUGGGGACAUGUCCCAUCAACUCCUUAUUCAGACAGUUUAGUUUUAGAGGCUUUUAGACUACAGUAUGUUCAGACAGUUUAUUUCAGUUCAUGUUUUGGUAUUGAUAUACCGUACUCUCAGAUAGUAUGUUUUAGCCGUUUUGAACCUUAUGGUAUGUUCUAGUCUAU